rnacentral:lncRNA from 1 species
AUAAUAAUAAUAAUAAGCCCCGCAGGGCAUCUGAGGCGGAUGACGGGGAGUAGCGACCCCGCGGGGCUAUAUAUCCGAGUGCUCCAGGGAGAGUAUACUGUCCCCCAUCUCCGGCUUGCCGGAGUGAAGCAUGACGGGGGAUAGGUCUCCCGCCUCUUGGCUUGCCUUCAUCGGCCGGUCAGAGUGGAGUCGCUAGAGCAAUUUAAGUCCUGCUCGGAGGGUAGGUGCCUCGUGGUAAGUGGCGAGUGGGCCGGUGAUGCUGGACCCACAGGGAGCGCGUGAUCUGCGUUUAAAGUCCGCCGAGGUAUCCUCACCCUUCUCAGCCGCUCAUGUACCUGUUGCCCUCUUGUUGCUUUUCAGUGACUGAUUCCCGGGGGCCCAGUAAGUGAGUUGGCGAGUCUCCACCUGCCAUUUUUACGUGUGCAAACAUUGUUAUCGGCAGGUGCCAUAGUUCCCGUAGUUUCCCCAUUCCUAGUCCAUUAGCAUCCCAUCACAAUAGCCCAAGUAGUUUUCAUCCAUAGUUAGCAAUAGUUUAGCACAGAACCGGGGAUUGUCCUUGGGUACAUUUCUAUAGUGUAUACAGGGAUAAUCGUCGGUUUUGUGUCACCAUUUCAUUAAAGUUGUCUCAAAAGGGCUUCAGCGUGUUGGCUUCGGCCCCACGUUCGCCUCCCAAAAAUCCGGGACUCUAUAGUCCCGAGGUCUGGUAGAGACAUACAAGAUAUAAUAAUAAUAAGCCCCGCAGGGCAUCUGAGGCGGAUGACGGGGAGUAGCGACCCCGCGGGGCUAUAUAUCCGAGUGCUCCAGGGAGAGUAUACCGUCCCCCAUCUCCGGCUUGCCGGAGUGAAGCAUGACGGGGGAUAGGUCUCCCGCCUCUUGGCUUGCCUUCACCGGCCGGUCAGAGUGGAGUCGCUAGAGCAAUGCUCGGAGGGUAGGUGCCUCGUGGUAAGUGGCGAGUGGGCCGGUGAUGCUGGACCCACAGGGAGCGCGUGAUCUGCGUUUAAAGUCCGCCGAGGUAUCCUCACCCUUCUCAGCCGCUCAUGUACCUGUUGCCCUCUUGUUGCUUUUCAGUGACUGAUUCCCGGGGGCCCAGUAAGUGAGUUGGCGAGUCUCCACCUGCCAUUUUUACGUGUAUUUAUUACAUUGUUAUCGGCAGGUGCCAUAGUUCCCGUAGUUUCCCCAUUCCUAGUCCAUUAGCAUCCCAUCACAAUAGCCCAAGUAGUUUUCAUCCAUAGUUAGCAAUAGUUUAGCACAGAACCGGGGAUUGUCUUUGGGUACAUUUCUAUAGUGUUAUACAGGGAUAAUCGUCGGUUUUGUGUCACCAUUUCAUUAAAGUUGUCUCAAAAGGGCUUCAGCGUGUUGGCUUCGGCCCCACGUUCGCCUCCCAAAAAUCCGGGACUCUGUAGUCCCGAGGUCAUAAAGAGACAUACAUUUAUAAUAAUAAUAUAAUCUUUAUUUCAGACUAAUGUCCAUACAUAAAAACAUACAAAAACCAGUUUACAAAAUUUGAGCACGUAUAAAUGCUUUCAGGACGUUUGAGUCUUGCUUUUCCGCAAUAACCUGUAGGAUGCUGUUGGUGCUGCUCCUGACUCUGCUCAGUAAUGAUGCGAGCCGCUUGCGUAUUAUAGCAUGGAAGCCGUCUACCCUGGCUUCCGCAAACAUACCGGAGGCACUGCAGAAACGGGGCAACCCCAACAACAUCCUAAAUCCGUUAUU